GACGAACCGUGCGAACGUUGUUCGGAAUCACUGGGCUUAAAGGGCGCGUAGGCGGGCCCGCAAGUCAGGGGUGAAAUCCCACGGCUCAACCGUGGAAGUGCCUUUGAUACUGCGGGUCUCGAGGGAGGUAGGGGCGUGCGGAACUUCCGGUGGAGCGGUGAAAUGCGUAGAUAUCGGAAGGAACACCGGUGGCGAAGGCGGCAUCCUGGACCAACACUGACGCUGAGGAGCGAAAGCCAGGGGAGCAAACGGG
rnacentral:rRNA from 1 species